GUGAAGGGGUAUGGUUUUGGGUCGGUAUUAACUUAUUCCUUGCAAUCAUAUACAUUUCAUAAUUUUACCAAUAGGUACUAUGUUAUUUAUUUUAUUUCAUUCUAUUUAGGUUUGUGAUUUAUAUUUAGGUUUAGGGUUUAUAUUUGGGUAAUGGUUUAUUGAUUAGAGUUUAGGGUUUAGUAUUUAGAAGGUGAGUGAGUAUGGUUAUGGUCAACGUUAACUUCUUCCAUGCAAUCAUAGACAUUUCAUAAUUUCACCAAUAUUUACUAUUUUAUUUAUUUUGUUCCAUUCUAUCUGGGUUUUGGGUUUAUAUUUGAGUUUAUAGUUUAUAUUUGUUUUUAGGGUUUAGUAUUUAAGGAUUGGGGUGAGAUUGAGAUAAAGUUUAGUAUCUAGGGAUUGUGGUUGAGAUAUGUUUAGUAUUUAGGGAUUAUAGGUGGAGUUAUAAUCCUAUACUACUUAGGUGAUAUGUAACAUAACACUCGUGCAUAUGUAUGUAAGAUAUACGUGGAUAGUUCUUUUUUCUCUUAAUUGGAAUAUUUUUUAGGUGCUCUUGACCUUUUAUUUGGAAUAGUUUAAAUUGUAUUAAAGUCUACAUUUCCAUGUAUGAUUUAGUUCUUAUUUGAUAGGAUUCAGUUUAU
rnacentral:lncRNA from 1 species